UCAUCUCCGGGGGUAGAGCACUGUUUCGGCUAGGGGGCCAUCCCGGCUUACCAACCCGAUGCAAACUGCGAAUACCGGAGAAUGUUAUCACGGGAGACACACGGCGGGUGCUAACGUCCGUCGUGAAGAGGGAAACAACCCAGACCGCCAGCUAAGGUCCCAAAGUCAUGGUUAAGUGGGAAACGAUGUGGGAAGGCCCAGACAGCCAGGAUGUUGGCUUAGAAGCAGCCAUCAUUUAAAGAAAGCGUAAUAGCUCACUGGUCGAGUCGGCCUGCGCGGAAGAUGUAACGGGGCUAAACCAUGCACCGAAGCUGCGGCAGCGAACGUAUCACUUAAAGCGAUUCAGCGGGUUACGAUUGACGGAGCGAAGCGACGUCAAAGCGUAUACAAAGUCGAGUCGGUUUAAGGAUACGUUCGUUGGGUAGGGGAGCGUUCUGUAAGCCUGUGAAGGUGGCCUGUGAGGGUUGCUGGAGGUAUCAGAAGUGCGAAUGCUGACAUAAGUAACGAUAAAGCGGGUGAAAAGCCCGCUCGCCGGAAGACCAAGGGUUCCUGUCCAACGUUAAUCGGGGCAGGGUGAGUCGACCCCUAAGGCGAGGCCGAAAGGCGUAGUCGAUGGGAAACGGGUUAAUAUUCCCGUACUUGGUGUUACUGCGAAGGGGGGACGGAGAAGGCUAUGUUGGCCGGGCGACGGUUGUCCCGGUUUAAGCGUGUAGGUGUGUGUUCCAGGUAAAUCCGGUUCACUUUAACACUGAGGCGUGACGACGAGGCACUACGGUGCUGAAGCAACAAAUGCCCUGCUUCCAGGAAAAGCCUCUAAGCAUCAGGUAACAUCAAAUCGUACCCCAAACCGACACAGGUGGUCAGGUAGAGAAUACCAAGGCGCUUGAGAGAACUCGGGUGAAGGAACUAGGCAAAAUGGUGCCGUAACUUCGGGAGAAGGCACGCUGACACGUAGGUGAAGUGAUUUACUCAUGGAGCUGAAGUCAGUCGAAGAUACCAGCUGGCUGCAACUGUUUAUUAAAAACACAGCACUGUGCAAACACGAAAGUGGACGUAUACGGUGUGACGCCUGCCCGGUGCCGGAAGGUUAAUUGAUGGGGUCAGCGCAAGCGAAGCUCCUGAUCGAAGCCCCGGUAAACGGCGGCCGUAACUAUAACGGUCCUAAGGUAGCGAAAUUCCUUGUCGGGUAAGUUCCGACCUGCACGAAUGGCGUAAUGAUGGCCAGGCUGUCUCCACCCGAGACUCAGUGAAAUUGAACUCGCUGUGAAGAUGCAGUGUACCCGCGGCAAGACGGAAAGACCCCGUGAACCUUUACUAUAGCUUGACACUGAACAUUGAGCCUUGAUGUGUAG
rnacentral:rRNA from 1 species